CGCUUGCAUGGCAUGCAAGAGGUCAGCGGUUCGAUCCCGCUUACCUCCA
rnacentral:tRNA from 1 species